rnacentral:rRNA from 1 species
GAUGAACGCUGGCGGCGUGCCUAAUACAUGCAAGUCGAGCGAACAGACGAGGAGCUUGCUCCUCUGACGUUAGCGGCGGACGGGUGAGUAACACGUGGAUAACCUACCUAUAAGACUGGGAUAACUUCGGGAAACCGGAGCUAAUACCGGAUAAUAUAUUGAACCGCAUGGUUCAAUAGUGAAAGACGGUUUUGCUGUCACUUAUAGAUGGAUCCGCGCCGCAUUAGCUAGUUGGUAAGGUAACGGCUUACCAAGGCAACGAUGCGUAGCCGACCUGAGAGGGUGAUCGGCCACACUGGAACUGAGACACGGUCCAGACUCCUACGGGAGGCAGCAGUAGGGAAUCUUGCGCAAUGGGCGAAAGCUUGACGGAGCAACGCCGCGUGAGUGAUGAAGGUCUUCGGAUCGUAAAACUCUGUUAUUGGGGAAGAACAAAUGUGUAAGUAACUAUGCACGUCUUGACGGUACCUAAUCAGAAAGCCACGGCUAACUACGUG